GUAGGGAAUAUUGGACAAUGGGGGCAACCCUGAUCCAGCAAUGCCGCGUGAGUGAUGAAGGCCUUAGGGUUGUAAAGCUCUUUUACCCGGGAUGAUAAUGACAGUACCGGGAGAAUAAGCUCCGGCUAACUCCGUGCCAGCAGCCGCGGUAAUACGGAGGGAGCUAGCGUUGUUCGGAAUUACUGGGCGUAAAGCGCGCGUAGGCGGCUGUUUAAGUCAGAGGUGAAAGCCUGGAGCUCAACUCCAGAACUGCCUUUGAGACUGGACAGCUAGAAUCCUGGAGAGGUGAGUGGAAGUCCGAGUGUAGAGGUGAAAUUCGUAGAUAUUCGGAAGAACACCAGUGGCGAAGGCGGCUCACUGGACAGGUAUUGACGCUGAGGUGCGAAAGCGUGGGGAGCAAACAGGAUUAGAUACCCGAGUAGUCC
rnacentral:rRNA from 1 species